rnacentral:rRNA from 1 species
GAUGAACGCUAGCGGCAGGCCUAACACAUGCAAGUCGAGGGGCAGCACAGAAAGUGGUUUACCACUUUUGGUGGCGACCGGCGGACGGGUGCGUAACGCGUGUGCAACCUACCUAUAACAGGGGGAUAACGUCGGGAAACUGGCACUAAUACCCCAUAACAUACUGACCGGCAUCGGUUGAUGUUGAAAGCUCCGGCGGUUAUAGAUGGGCACGCGUUGUAUUAGAUAGUUGGUGAGGUAAUGGCUCACCAAGUCAGCGAUACAUAGGGGGACUGAGAGGUUAACCCCCCACACUGGUACUGAGACACGGACCAGACUCCUACGGGAGGCAGCAGUGAGGAAUAUUGGUCAAUGGGGGCAACCCUGAACCAGCCAUGCCGCGUGCAGGAAGACGGCUCUAUGAGUUGUAAACUGCUUUUGCAAGGGGAUAAUUCACGAUACGCGUAUCGUGUUGAAGGUACCUUGCGAAUAAGGAUCGGCUAACUCCGUGCCAGCAGCCGCCGUAAAAC